AAAUUCAUACAAGUUACACCCAAGGCAAAACAAAACAAGAUGCAAUUCACAAGACCCAAGAUGCAAUUCGCAUGAUCAAUCAAGCCAAUUUCAUGUGAAUUUUUGGGCCCCAUAUUGCAUCUUCUUUCAUUCUCAUUGUACCCUUAGGCCUUAGAUUCCCUGUAGAAAGUACAAUCGCUUCAGUCCUCUCUCAGUCUCCCUUGCAAAAAGUUCAAAUCAAAAGAAACCCAAAAAAAAAAACCCAUCAUCAUCAUCAUCAUGUACUUCUUUGAGAGGGGCUUCUCCAAAACCCAGUUGCAUA
rnacentral:misc_RNA from 1 species